GGGGUUGUGGCUCAGUGGUAGCAUGCUUGCCUAGCAUGUAAGAGGUACUGGGUUUGAGUCUCAGCACCCCCA
rnacentral:tRNA from 1 species